UGGGGAAUUUUGCACAAUGGGGGAAACCCUGAUGCAGCGACGCCGCGUGAUUUAGAAGGCCUUCGGGUUGUAAAAAUCUUUUCUAUGGGAAGAAAAUGACAGUACUAUAGGAAUAAGGACUGGCCAAUUACGUGCCAGCAGCCGCGGUAAUACGUAAGGUCCGAGCGUUGUCCGGAAUCAUUGGGCGUAAAGGGUACGUAGGCGGGUAAGCAAGUUAGAAGUGAAAUCCUGUAGCUCAACUACAGUAAGCUUUUAAAACUGCUCAUCUUGAGAUAUGGAAGGGAAAGUGGAAUUCCUGGUGUAGCGGUGAAAUGCGCAGAUAUUAGGAGGAAUACCGGUGGCGAAGGCGACUUUCUGGCCAUAAUCUGACGCUGAGGUACGAAAGCGUGGGUAGCAAACAGG
rnacentral:rRNA from 1 species